AGAGUUUGAUCAUGGCUCAGAACGAACGCUGGCGGCAUGCCUAACACAUGCAAGUCGAACGAGACCUUCGGGUCUAGUGGCGCACGGGUGCGUAACGCGUGGGAAUCUGCCCUUUGCUUCGGAAUAACAGUUAGAAAUGACUGCUAAUACCGGAUGAUGUCUUCGGACCAAAGAUUUAUCGGCAAAGGAUGAGCCCGCGUAGGAUUAGGUAGUUGGUGGGGUAAAGGCCUACCAAGCCGACGAUCCUUAGCUGGUCUGAGAGGAUGAUCAGCCACACUGGGACUGAGACACGGCCCAGACUCCUACGUGAGGCAGCAGUGGGGAAUAUUGGACAAUGGGCGCAAGCCUGAUCCAGCAAUGCCGCGUGAGUGAUGAAGGCCUUCGGGUCGUAAAGCUCUUUUACCAGGGAUGAUAAUGACAGUACCUGGAGAAUAAGCUCCGGCUAACUCCGUG
rnacentral:rRNA from 1 species